AAUUUUCAUAAUAUAGAAAUUUCAUGUUUGAAUUGAAUGAACCUAAAGAAGUCAAUCAUUCAAUAAAAAAAAUAUGAAAUAAAAAAACAUUGCCAUGCCACGUACCUCGUCAGAUGUAUUUGUACCGCUGUCAAAAACAUAUGACUGAUCGAUUGAUAUAGAUUCUUAUUUCAAUUUUUCGAAAUUGUAAUUUUUCCCCCAAAAAUGUGUUUUUGAACUCGAAUGUCAACCACACGUGGACGAUUAAAGUUGACUGAUUAUCUAUUCGAACAAUAUAAAGGAUGAAACAAGAACACAAACUUCAAGUCUAUUCUGAUUCUUUUUGAUCAUGGUCAUGGUUUAUCUCGUCAGCUAUUAAUCAAAAGGACCAGGAAUUUCCACGCGAGUGGUUCCUUCAUUGAAGAGAGGACACAGGAUAGAUAGAUUCUAUAAAAGAUCAUUCUGCCAGAUGGCCCGUGCCCGCAACGAACAGAGAAUUUCUUUUUUUCAUUUUUCUCUUUCUCAACUUUUCUUUUAGCUUGUCCAUGGUAUAACCACGAUGCAACAUUUUUCAUGGUUUUCUAUCUCAAGAGCAUAUAUUUCUAAUAUUUUUAUUUGC